rnacentral:rRNA from 1 species
AUUCCUACGGGAGGCAGCAGUGAGGAAUAUUGGUCAAUGGACGAGAGUCUGAACCAGCCAAGUAGCGUGAAGGAUGACGGUCCUAUGGAUUGUAAACCUCUUUUGUCAGGGAGCAAAGGGCGCCACGUGUGGCGUUUUGCGAGUACCUGAAGAAAAAGCAUCGGCUAACUCCGUGCCAGCAGCCGCGGUAAUACGGAGGAUGCGAGCGUUAUCCGGAUUUAUUGGGUUUAAAGGGUGCGCAGGCGGAAUGUCAAGUCAGCGGUAAAAUUUCGGGGCUCAACCCUGUCGUGCCGUUGAAACUGGCG